UAUGUAUUUUAUAUGUGCAUUGAGGAGAAUGCAGAAGUUGUGGCAAUUUUAUCCAAUAAAAAAAUUGUGUAGUUUUCCCAUGCAGCCAUAAAAAAAAAACACUAAAGACGUUCAUAUCUACAGAAUUUCUGUUAUGGUCAGCUCUCUCUCCGCGCUGUUUUUGGGUGUCUUUUCCCUGUGUGUCUGUGUUUGUUUGUGUUUUGUCUGUGUUUUUCCGUUUGGAGUGCUGGAGGUGUGGUCCAGAGGAAAGUAGGCCAAGGGGCGUGGCCGCUUCAACCCUGUACAGCCGAGCUUCACAGCUGCAGCUAAUCUUCAAGAUUCAACCCAGCAAUAUUUAAACCCGGGCUGAUCACCUCUUCAGCGCCAGUUCGUUAUCUACAACUUAUGUGUUACAGCUCUGACCUGCUGCUUCCUCCGCUGUACCUGCAUGCUUCCAGCCUCACCGUCCAGCCUCAGUCUCCACCUUGGGAAACCACCUGUGUACUUAUCUCUGCCUGUCCACCUCGUGUCCCGUAACCACCUGGACUCUUCCCCGUCGGCUCGCCUCAACCUCGGACCAGCCAGGAGUUUUCCCCGCCCUGACACAACCAACUGUGUUUCUCUGAGUACACUUUGUUUCAUUAAACCUUUUAAAACUGCU